rnacentral:lncRNA from 1 species
AGUUUAGCUUGGUCAUCAGACAGAUAGGUGCAGGGCAGUAAAGGGAGCCAGGGAAAGGGGCCCCAGUCCUCCUUGAAGCUGGGGAUCCACUUUUGCUUAUGGCAUCUUUUUCUGUUGAGCUAGCGGAGGUGCAGGGUGCUUGUGUCCUGUGCCUAGGCCUGGGGGCAUCAGGGGCCUGGGCACCUAUUGGCUUUCUCAUUUAGCACUAAGUGUGCUCUCACUCCCAGGGUAGGAGUGUUCCUGUCUCUCUUCCUGGAGCAGGGGUUCGGGGGGAUGCCUUCAGGGGUAGAUGAAAGAGAAAAGAAAUGGAUCUUCCUGUUUUUCCCCCUGCCUCACCCCCUAGAUUCCACAGGUUUUGGUGAAGUUGAAGAAGUACUCUCAUGGAGACAAGGACUUCACUGAGGAUGUCAACUGUGCUUUUGAGUUCCUGCUGAAGCUCACCCCCUUGUUGGACAAAGCUGACCAGCGCUGCAACUGUGACUGUACAAACUUCCUGCUCCAAGAAUGUGGCAAGCAGGGGCUUCUGUCUGAGGCCAGCGUCAACAACCUUAU